AGAAGGCUUCUAACCCAGUCUUGGUGUGUCGGGGAAGAUUUCAAGAACAGAAAAGAACGUUCCAGAAGGGCAGAAAAAAAAGCCUUGUAGCAUCUUCCUAUUGAAUUGAUCCUAUGUUUAUGUUUCUUUUGGAAAUUUCCUUUCAUUUGACAUUAUGUCAUCGACCACUUCAAGGCUUUGAUGGAAUGACUCGAGGAAAAGGAAAAGGUCACAAUUACUAGAAAGAACCCAAAAGGACACGAGAGAUGAAAUAGUUGGAAGACUUCUGUAAUAAAUGUUUCCUUACAAGAGCAGAGAUCCGGGCGCCGUGUCUGGGUAAUGUCUGCUCAACACAGCAGAAGGAUAAGAGGAAAUCUUUGGGAUGCCGAUUUGCCAAAGUCUGAAGGAGGAACCAUCUGGAACCAGCGGCACUACAAAUCCCACGUUCCCAGAAGCCUCAAGGAUUUCCUCGUGGGUCUGGGGGGUUAAUCUGACAAAUAGCAGUGGCUUUGGGACUCCCAGGGCACAGAGGUUGGGCCAAGGCCUCAUCCUUUCGUCCCUCCCUCCGGUGCACGCUGUCCACAGGCACAGCUCUCCACGUCAAGAGCCACGUACACAGGCGCGGACAGAUGCCAACAGAGUGUGAGCGUCCCCCAGGCUGCGGCCUCCCGAGCGGGGCAUCCCGACGCGGCCUGGUGCGUCCGCAAAAACUCCGCGGGACCCCGAGGCCCCCGUGCGGCGUUCCCCAAAGCACCCCGCGAUUCGCCCUGACGUCUUAAGACUCUCGAGGUUUUCCACGUCGCCGGCGAGCGCUGGGCGCGCCCGGGGCGAGCCCGGCGGGCGCGCACUUGGCAGCCUCCCAGCUGGCCCACCUCGGCGGGAGGAGGCGUUGGCGGGGCUGAGAAAGGCCAGUGCCUCCGCACCUCCAGGAUCCUCUCUCCUCCACCUCUCCUCUCG
rnacentral:lncRNA from 1 species